rnacentral:lncRNA from 1 species
CUGCCUGCAGUGCUAUGUAUAAGCCAUUUUUCUCACGUUAUAAAAGUGUAGCUUUAUCGGCAGGACCUCCGAUUGCAUUUUAAAACUUCAUUUGCUGCUUUCUGGUUCUUCUUGUGUUGCCAUUGCAGAGCCUGUGCAGCCUGACGCGCUGGAGGACCAGGCAUGGGAGAAAAGCACUGUUUGCACCUGUUUAAAAUCUCCAGUGCUUUGUGUGGUUCCUGGGCAACAGGCAGGAAUCCUGAAAAGCUAGGCUGCACUUGCUCAAUUGUUGCUGGCAGCUGUGACUUUGAGAGAGCACAUAGCAGCUCGUUAGCAGGUUGCUUGUGUUAUGUGACAUGCACUGAGCAAGGCAAACUCUUAGCUGAUCUCUCUUCCUUUGCUGCCUACGAUCAAGGCUGGGUUGCCUGGGGUUGCAGACCUGGCCAAAGGAAGCAUUAUAGAGAUGUAAGGGAACUAGGGGGCUUGAUACAUCCCUUGCAUCCUGCAUUUACUCUGACCACAGUCCCUCCCUGUUCUCACGAGUGGAGCUCUGCCCUGCUUCCCUUCCUGUUGAUUCCCAGUCAGCUACAUGACUGCCUGAAGUUACAUUGUAGAUGCUGAAAUCACUGCACCUUAAAAACAAAAAGAUUAAACUGCACUGCAUUCUUACAAAUUGCCUUCGUGGUCCUGGUCCUUUGGUUCCACACAAUCAUCGACUGAGCUGAAGGAGAUCUCCCUAUAGCU